AGCGUACUUCAAUAUUGUAUUCGGGUUCCUUAUCGGUUGUUGUCCAUACAUCAUUGUCCCAUUAGGUUUCUUUUUAGUUUUAUUUCCAUUAUACACGAAAAGUUACAACGAAAAUCACUAAUGCAGAACAACGCAACAAGAUACACCACAUCAAAAUUUAAGACAAUUAAAAAUGAAACAAAGAAAAAAUCGAUGAAAAGCAUUUCCCCC
rnacentral:lncRNA from 1 species